GGAGGCACAGCGCAGUGGAAGUGCAUGAGCCUGGCACGCACGAGGUCCUGGGUUCCAUCCCCAGUGCCUCCG
rnacentral:tRNA from 1 species